CUGCGCAUGUGCAAUUCCUCCGGCGACGGGGAGAAAAUGGAGCCGUUACGGACGCAGCGCGCCUACGUUUCCCAGUGGUCCCUGGGCGGUUGCGCAUGCGUGAGCAGACGUCACUGGCAAUCCCCUAAUUUAGGGGAGACUGAGUCAUCACUUCUGAGCGCCCAGACUCGCUGGUGCAGUCGCUGCUCGGUGAGGCCCUGACGUUCUGCUCGCUGGAGGGAGCGGCGGCCUGGCUGGGGACCUCCGCGUCUCAGCCCCUCUGAAGUGUUUUCGCUGCUGCCAUAGGCUUGGUGUGCGAACGCCCAGAGUUGGGGUUUUCGGGGAAGAACAGGCAGCUGUUUACCAAUACUUCCAGUAUCCUCCUACCCUCCAGUGGGAGACGUGCACCCAAAUAAUUUCUGAGGAGUGGAGACGGUAUCAUAGACCAAACCUAUUUUGAACUGAUACCAACCUGCUGUUUAGGGCAGAUGUCAGAGGGCACGUCCUUGUUUUCUGAAGAUCUAUGUACAGCUGUGGACCGACGGUGUAUGACCAUGCACACCUCGGGCACGCCUGCUCCUAUGUUAGGUUUGAUAUAAUUCGAAGGAUAAUGACAAGGUUUUUUGGAAUUGAAGUUAUCAUGGUGAUGGGGAUCACAGACAUAGAUGACAAGAUAAUAAAAAGAGCCAGUGAGAUGAAUAUAUCACCAGUAGCUCUUGCUCGUAUUUAUGAAGAAGACUUUAAACAAGAUAUGGCUGCCUUAAAGGUCCUUCCUCCUACCGUGUAUAUGAGGGUGACUGACAAUAUUCCUCAGAUAAUUUCCUUUAUAAAAACAAUAAUUUCCAGUGGACAAGCUUAUGCAACCUCGCAAGGCAAUGUUUAUUUUGAUGUUAAGUCCUGGGGAAAAAGAUAUGGAGUAUUAACUACUAUUAAUCCUGAUACCCAAGAUGAAGCAGUUGAUUCUGAUAAACGACAUGGUAAAGAUUUUGCCCUGUGGAAGGCUGCCAAGCCUCAAGAGCUAUCUUGGAAUUCUCCGUGGGGAAAAGGAAGACCUGGAUGGCAUAUUGAGUGUUCCACAAUAUCAAGUGCAGUGUUUGGAAAGCAGCUGGACAUCCAUACCGGUGGAAUAGAUCUUGCAUUUCCUCAUCAUGAAAAUGAAAUUGCACAGUGUGAGGUGUAUCAUCAGUGUGAGCAAUGGGGGAAUUACUUUUUUCAUUCUGGGCAUUUGCAUGUAAAAGGAAGUCAAGAAAAAAUGUCAAAGUCAUUAAAAAACUACAUAACGAUUAAGGAUUUCCUGAAGAAAUGUUCAUCAGAUCAAUUCAGAAUGUUUUGUUUGCGUGGCAGAUACAGCUCAGCGGUAGAAUUUAGUGAUGAGAGCAUGGAAGAUGCAAAGAACCUUCUUCAGGCGAUCUCCUCAUUUAUUAGAGAUGCAAAUGCUUAUAUAAAAGGACAGCUGGUGUGUGACCCUGUUAGAGAAGACAUAUUGUGGGAAAGGCUAGCCAACACAAAAGUAACCGUGAAGGCUGCGUUUGCAGAUGACUUUGACACCUCCAGGGCUGUUGCAGCAAUUAUGGACCUCAUUCACCAUGGCAACAGACAGCUUAAGGCUGUUACUAAGGAUGCUGGAUCUCCUAGAAGCUCUGUUGUGUAUGGAAGCAUUAUUUCCUAUAUAGAAGGCUUUUUCAAUGCCCUUGGGAUGUCCUUCGGAGAAAGACAGGUGCCUGUGGGAGCAGACAAGUCUGCAGUGCUCUCCAGUGUCAUUGAGGAGCUGGUGAGGUUCCGCACGAAGGUCCGUCAUUACGCGCUGGCUCUGCCGGAAGCAGCAGACGCUGUGCCAGGAGAGGGUGCGGCGGGAGCCAAGGAACCCAAACAGGAGCAGAAGGAAAAGAGGAAGCAGCUAAUGCGCGAGAGAAAACCCCUCUUGGAGGCUUGUGACAGUCUGCGUGGAGACCUUGCUGCCUUUGGAAUCCACAUAAAGUUUAUGCUGCUCAUUUUUCCUUUGCUUGGGAACUGAUCCUGGCAAGUCUGGUUCCAUGGUUUUACCAGUGGGAGGAUGGAAAGCACAGUGACAUCAGGGAGUGACAGCACACAUCCGCUGCAGCUGCCGAGCGUGAGGGCUGUGACUCGUCAGCGCUCCUGUUACAGCGGAGCGUGGUCGGCGCUCUCCUCUCUCAGAUGACAGCGAGCGCGCCGACACAAACCAGGGACAGAGCUGCUGUUUCAACCUGGGAGAUUGUGGAAGGAGGGCAGACAGAGAAGCAGACUGAGAAAAAAAGCUGAUCCUUCAUCCUUGGACUUGUUUUUUAUUUCAGCUUCUUUGGCAACUAUUGUAAAUACUAAUUCUUUCAAAAUAAAAUCUGUUGAACAGAAUGGCUAAAAAUGAUAGCGUGUAAUUUGAGCAAAACUGUUGGCACUACUGCUUGGUAAAUAAAUACAGGCCUUGCAGCACAGGUGGUGGAAGCAUCCAGAAUACAAGGCAGCAUGGGAGCAGCUGCACUGACUUGCACAGACAUGGGUCUGUUCUACUGCAGGAGCUGCCCCAGCCCCAGGCACGCUGUGAUCUGCCCUCACCCUGCUGUGUUGGUGACCUGACACGGAAUUUAAACAUAGUGAAGGCAGAGGCAAGAACUUAGGCCUGUCUUUAAGGUGAAAACAAUUUAUUUUAUACCUGUUGGUUUAAGAAUUCUAUUCCUCUCAGACAUAGCAGUGGGGGAUACUUUUAACCUUGAAUUAUUUCCAUAUUGCAGUGGUGCUGCUUUGGUCCUGUGAAACCUUCACCUGCAAUAUGAUGGUAUCCAGUUACCUGUAAGGCUUGGUAUCUUCUGUUUGCUUCUGCACUGAAUACAUGGAGAUGGCUCUAGCACUGGGAGUGCAGCAUGCUCAGGCUCUCUCCAGAGGUGGGAAGAUAAAAUUAGUAUGUUUACUUUUCACCUGUUCAGUUACCUUUUUGCUGGCCCUGGCUGCUGUGGCUGUGGGCAGAGGUGCAGAAGCCUCUCUUACACCUGAGGUGACCUGUGCUCUAAGGCCUGUGUUGAUAUGGGGCUGGUACUUACCUGGUACCUGCACUUCCCUUAAAUCAAUUUAUGAAAACAUAAAAACCAAGAACCUGGGUUCAUCUACAAGGCACCUGUGUGUUUUCAAAGUAUCUGUUCAAAAAGAUAAACGCUUUCUUUUAUACUGAGAAUAAAAUGUGUAGCUGUU